rnacentral:rRNA from 1 species
UAAGACAGAGGAGGCAAGCGUUGUUCGGAAUCAUUGGGCUUAAAGGGCGUGCAGGCGGCGGCGCAAGUGUCGAGUGAAAUCCCAUCGCUCAACGAUGGAACGGCUCGGCAAACUGCGUCGCUUGAGGUCGGUAGAGGUGCUCGGAACUCUAGGUGGAGCGGUGAAAUGCGUAGAUAUCUAGAGGAACGCCUGAGGCGAAAGCGGGGCACUGGGCCGAUUCUGACGCUGAGACGCGAAAGCGUGGGGAGCAAACAGGAUUAGAUACCCUGGUAGUCCACGCCGUAAACGAUGCGCACUAGGUGACGGGGCCUCUCACGGCGCCGCCGCCGAAGCAAAAGUGAUUAGUGCGCCGCCUGGGGAGUACGGCCGCAAGGCUA